UUGAACGCUGGCGGCAGGCCUAACACAUGCAAGUCGAACGGUAACAGGAAGCAGCUUGCUGCUUUGCUGACGAGUGGCGGACGGGUGAGUAAUGUCUGGGAAACUGCCUGAUGGAGGGGGAUAACUACUGGAAACGGUAGCUAAUACCGCAUAACGUCGCAAGACCAAAGAGGGGGACCUUCGGGCCUCUUGCCAUCGGAUGUGCCCAGAUGGGAUUAGCUUGUUGGUGGGGUAACGGCUCACCAAGGCGACGAUCCCUAGCUGGUCUGAGAGGAUGACCAGCCACACUGGAACUGAGACACGGUCCAGACUCCUACGGGAGGCAGCAGUGGGGAAUAUUGCACAAUGGGCGCAAGCCUGAUGCAGCCAUGCCGCGUGUAUGAAGAAGGCCUUCGGGUUGUAAAGUACUUUCAGCGGGGAGGAAGGGAGUAAAGUUAAUACCUUUACUCAUUGACGUUACCCGCAGAAGAAGCACCGGCUAACUCCGUGCCAGCAGCCGCGGUAAUACGGAGGGUGCAAGCGUUAAUCGGAAUUACUGGGCGUAAAGCGCACGCAGGCGGUUUGUUAAGUCAGAUGAGAAAUCCCCGGGCUCAACCUGGGAACUGCAUCUGAUACUGGCAAGCUUGAGUCUCGUAGAGGGGGGUAGAAUUCCAGGUGUAGCGGUGAAAUGCGUAGAGAUCUGGAGGAAUACCGGUGGCGAAGGCGGCCCCCUGGACGAAGACUGACGCUCAGGUGCGAAAGCGUGGGGAGCAAACAGGAUUAGAUACCCUGGUAGUCCACGCCGUAAACGAUGUCGACUUGGAGGUUGUGCCCUUGAGGCGUGGCUUCCGGAGCUAACGCGUUAAGUCGACCGCCUGGGGAGUACGGCCGCAAGGUUAAAACUCAAAUGAAUUGACGGGGGCCCGCACAAGCGGUGGAGCAUGUGGUUUAAUUCGAUGCAACGCGAAGAACCUUACCUGGUCUUGACAUCCACAGAACUUUCCAGAGAUGGAUUGGUGCCUUCGGGAACUGUGAGACAGGUGCUGCAUGGCUGUCGUCAGCUCGUGUUGUGAAAUGUUGGGUUAAGUCCCGCAACGAGCGCAACCCUUAUCCUUUGUUGCCAGCGGUCCGGCCGGGAACUCAAAGGAGACUGCCAGUGAUAAACUGGAGGAAGGUGGGGAUGACGUCAAGUCAUCAUGGCCCUUACGACCAGGGCUACACACGUGCUACAAUGGCGCAUACAAAGAGAAGCGACCUCGCGAGAGCAAGCGGACCUCAUAAAGUGCGUCGUAGUCCGGAUUGGAGUCUGCAACUCGACUCCAUGAAGUCGGAAUCGCUAGUAAUCGUGGAUCAGAAUGCCACGGUGAAUACGUUCCCGGGCCUUGUACACACCGCCCGUCACACCAUGGGAGUGGGUUGCAAAAGAAGUAGGUAGCUUAACCUUCGGGAGGGCGCUUACCACUUUGUGAUUCAUGACUGGGGUG
rnacentral:rRNA from 1 species